rnacentral:rRNA from 1 species
CGUGUAGGCGGCGGAAUAAGUCAGAUGUGAAAUCCCCCGGCUCAACCGGGGAACGGCAUUUGAAACUGUUUUGCUUGAGUGCGAGAGGGGGUAGUGGAAUUCCCAGUGUAGCGGUGAAAUGCGUAGAUAUUGGGAAGAACACCAGUAGCGAAGGCGGCUACCUGGCUCGCAACUGACGCUAAGGCGCGAAAGCGUGGGGAGCAAACA